GGACCCGUAGCUCAACUGGAUAGAGCAUUAGACUACGGAUCUAAAGGUUGUGAGUUCGAAUCUCGCCGGGUUCA
rnacentral:tRNA from 3 species